UACAGAGGGUGCAAGCGUUGCUCGGAUUUAUUGGGCGUAAAGCGCACGCAGACGGUAUGGAAGGUCGGACGUGAAAUCCCUGGGCUCAACCUAGGAACUGCGUUCGAAACCACCAAACUAGAGUUCGGAAGAGGGAGGCGGAAUUCCUGGUGUAGAGGUGAAAUUCGUAGAUAUCAGGAGGAACACCAGCGGCGAAGGCGGCUUCCUGGUCCGAUACUGACGUUCAGGUGCGAAAGCGUGGGUAGCAAACAGG
rnacentral:rRNA from 1 species